rnacentral:lncRNA from 1 species
GGUCUUAUUAAAUUGGAAAUGCUCUAACUAUAGGAUUAGUGAAAGACAUAAUAUGUUUAUUGUGUUAAGACCAGACUAGUUUAAAGCUGUAGAGAAACUUGUCACUAAAUAAUUUACCUAGAAUUAAUUUUUUUUUCACUGCAGGAACCCACUAUGCCAUCUAAGUCAUGGAGCAAUUUUGAUGUUCAUUGGUAAGAGGAAUACUGACACAAAUCACAGACCCUGAAAUACUGAAGUUUCAAAGACAAGCUCUCUGUGUAUGACCUGCUGUCUCCUGGCCCCCGGUGGACUACUGGAGAACUGCACCACUACUCUUCUGUCCAACCUUCUUAGAUAUCAGGAUGUUUUCCAAGUUAUCUACCACCAAAAUCUUCCAAAUGCUCAGAGGCAGCUCCCAGACACCGUUUCUCCACAAGGAAGAUCCAAAAGAAUCCCUGUGUUCCUCAAGAAGCCAGGAGGAGCUCCAUUGCUGUGGCAUGGAAGUCAUUGAAAACAGGUAAACCAGCUCAGGCCUGACCCAUGUAAAUAUGAUUCAAGAUGGUCAGCCCUUCUUUAAGUGAGAACACCAGCUUGGUUAGUCAAGCCAACUUAAUAAGCCCGUUCUAGAAAGAGCCAGAGACGAACCGAAGCCUAUGCAAUAUGACUUCAGACUCAGUUUUAAAAGGAGAGAAUUACAAAUCACUGAAUAAAGUCUUAUUGAAUGAAU